rnacentral:rRNA from 1 species
UACGUAGGGUCCGAGCGUUGUCCGGAAUUAUUGGGCGUAAAGGGCUCGUAGGCGGUUCGUCACGUCGGGAGUGAAAACUCGGAGCUCAACUCCGAGCCUGCUUCCGAUACGGGCAGACUAGAGGUAGGCAGGGGAGAGCGGAAUUCCUGGUGUAGCGGUGAAAUGCGCAGAUAUCAGGAAGAACACCCGUGGCGAAAGCGGCUCUCUGGAACGGUACUGACGCUGAGACGCGAAAGCGUGGGGAGCGAACAGG